AUUGAACGCUGGCGGCAUGCCUUACACAUGCAAGUCGAACGGUAACGGGCCUUCGGGUGCCGACGAGUGGCGAACGGGUGAGUAAUACAUCGGAACGUGCCCGAUCGUGGGGGAUAACGAGGCGAAAGCUUUGCUAAUACCGCAUACGAUCUACGGAUGAAAGCAGGGGACCGCAAGGCCUUGCGCGGACGGAGCGGCCGAUGGCAGAUUAGGUAGUUGGUGGGAUAAAAGCUUACCAAGCCGACGAUCUGUAGCUGGUCUGAGAGGAUGAUCAGCCACACUGGGACUGAGACACGGCCCAGACUCCUACGGGAGGCAGCAGUGGGGAAUUUUGGACAAUGGGCGCAAGCCUGGUCCAGCCAUGCCGCGUGCAGGAUGAAGGCCUUCGGGUUGUAAACUGCUUUUGUACGGAACGAAAAGCCUUCUUUUAAUACAGGAGGGUCAUGACGGUACCGGAAGAAUAAGCACCGGCUAACUACGUG
rnacentral:rRNA from 1 species